GAGUUGACUCCUGAACUUUCCGUCGUGGGAAUUGUGAAUGUUUGAAUGAAAACAUGAGACGUUCCUUUUUAGUUCAGAUCUUGGCUAGUGACCUAUCGUGCUUGGCUUGUGUUUUGAAAGAAAAGGUUGUCAUUUCGGAUCUCUGUUUCAGGACAUAGAGUAUGGUAAGAUAAUUUGAUGUGAUCAGUGAUAAGGGUGCGUGGUGAUGAUGGUGUGGAUGUAAACAACGAGAAUUGGAUUACAUCCGCCACCACUGGACAUUUUAAUCAUACUUCGGUUUGAGCAGGAUAAAAGAGCUCAAAUAAGGACGAAAACAUCAAAGCCAGAGACCACUCGACUCGCCAGGGAGACAGCGGGCAGCGUGCGAGUGACAACGGGGAGGCCUACGGGAACCAGCUCCGGGAUCAAAAAGAACUCUGUAAAUACUUCAAAAAGCUCGAUCAGCUCGUCCUCCAGACCUACUUUGUCGACGAAACGAACGGAGGCGACCCCGAAAACCCCGCCUGGUGUAGAUUCAAAGACGAGAAAUAAUGUAUCGACCAAAGUGCCAAAUGCUAUCUACAAGGCGGAUUCGAACUCGAGACCUCCGACAAGUGUCCCAAGCUCGAAAACUACCACACUCCGAUCAACAACUCAGGUGGCUCAAGACAGGGCCUCCAAAAGUGGACCAAAAGGAUUCACAUCCAAUUCGACGAAACCCUCAGUUUCUUGGAAACCGGAGACGAGCAGAUCUCAACAACCAGCGCCUCGACAGAGCACUUCCAGCAAAGUUUCCAGUCGGCCGACCGUGAAAUGAAAGAGGAGAUGGAUCGAAUAUCAUCUUCCAGCCAAGAGAGCCUUCACUACUCGGACGAUUUUGAGGACUACGAAUCCGACUUCGAGGAGUACGUGGGGUCGGACGACGAUGACGUGGUGGAGAAAACCCCUCGGCAGGAGGAAAAGCCGACCGGAAAAGCGGCUUUCGGUGAGGAAAUGACCCACGAUUCCGGGACCUACGACAUGACGGCUGCUCCACACCGCACGGACCACAUGCAGACGAUACAAGAGAAAGCCAGGGCAGAGAACCUCAACUUGGAUUUCAUCACCGGCGACUUCAACUCGCUCGUGUCAAAGGAUGAGGGCUUCGAGGAUUUCAAGAAGGAGGAGAAUUCCUUAUCUUCUCUGCAGUAUCAUCAGUUCAUAACAUUCGAGACGGUCUCAAAAGAAGAACGAAAACAGAAAAAAUUACGGAAAAGCGAGCUGCGAGCGAGGAAGCUGCUGUCGAUGUUCCGGCUGGAUCAGAAAGGCGGGAUCCUCAUGAACAUGCCUCCCAUCCCUUACGAGAUCUACAUGCAGUGCUACGGACGCUCAAACACGCUCCAGAUCAGUACACAGACGGAGGAUAAUAGGCCUUCAACUGAGGUCCAAACAGAGGAGGAAGAAAAGCGAACAAAAUGGACCCAAAUUCCAGGUCCGAUCAAGGAUAACCCGAAUAACACGACGGGCUUGAACCGUGCUCCCACGCUUCAGCAAACGAGGGAAGGUGUUGGGGAUGAUUCCAUGAGGUCACAAGAGGCUAUCGCGGCUGACAUUGCGGAGCGGGGUAUUUACAAGCUGGAUGGAAAGAGGUUGGACAGGUUCCUAUCCAUUGCGGGAAAGGUAAGACAUGAAAAGAAAAUUCAAUUGAAUCGUACUAAAGUUUAA
rnacentral:lncRNA from 1 species